rnacentral:lncRNA from 1 species
UGGCAAGCAGCUUCCGGCAGGAGGGGAUAGGAGUCUUUUUCAAGGGCAUGACACUCAAUAGUGCCCGUGCCUUUCCUGUCAAUGCUGCCACCUUCCUCAGCUAUGAAUACCUACUGCGCUUGUGGAGAUGAGCCUGGCCCAGUGACACUGGCAGCUCUACAGCAGAAUUAUGGCUGACAGCAGCUUGGAAAACCAAGCUAAAGCACCCAGCUUUUAGGUGCAAAAGCAAGAGGUGCCUUGUUAAGGAGCCAAUGUGCAAGAAACCAAAGAACCUGGCCCUGUACAGACUCUAAGACACACACACCCUCCAGCCCACCUCACCAGGCCACUUCCGUCCAGGAAGCAGGGGCACAAAGUACAUGAAAAUCAUCCAAGCCACCAUGCCAUAACUGUCCCUGUGAAGGAGCUCUCAGAGAGCAGCCACUGUCCUGGCUUUACCUAGCCCUGGAGUUCAAAACACUCCCUGGAUAGGAGAAUGGUUUUUGUCUUCUUUAUGUCCAGAAACCUUCAGGGAAACCCAGGUCCAGGCUCCUGGCUGUCCUGCCUGACUGGGUGGCCUUCUCUUGGUUACUUCCUGGUGUGGUCCCUCAUGUCCCAGGAGUGCGGUGGGUGGUGUUAUUGUCCUCCAGUGGCCCACUCUCCUCAAGAUCCAGGCAGAGCUCUUUAUCUGGGGGUCCUUCCAGCCCCAUCUGUGCUGACUGUGGGGUACCCAAGCACCCCAGCCCUCCUGCCUACCUCAGUCAAACCUCUGUGUACAGUACUUCGUGGUUAGUUUUUUGCUCCUCUGAGUUGUUAGUCUGUGAGAGUCUUAUGGUCAAGGUCAUACUUCUGUCUCUUGAACAGAUACAUGCAAUAAAGUUUCAUUUGAUGCAGUAUUGAUGAUCCCUUUCUGUCUCUGC